rnacentral:lncRNA from 1 species
UUAGAGCAAGACAAUCACCAUCUGAAUUCCAGAAGCCCUGUUCAUGGUUGGGGAUAUUUUCUCGACUGCAUGGAAUCAGAAAGAAGCAAAAGGAUGGGAAAUGCCUGCAUUCCCCUGAAAAGAAUUGCUUAUUUCCUAUGUCUCUUAUCUGCGCUUUUGCUGACUGAGGGGAAGAAACCAGCGAAGCCAAAAUGCCCUGCCGUGUGUACUUGUACCAAAGAUAAUGCUUUAUGUGAGAAUGCCAGAUCCAUUCCACGCACCGUUCCUCCUGAUGUUAUCUCAUUGUAAGGCCCAUCCUUUGUGAGAUCUGGUUUUACUGAAAUCUCAGAAGGGAGUUUUUUAUUCACGCCAUCGCUGCAGCUCUUGUGAGAAAUAUUUAUAUCAUGACUAUUUUUAAUAUGGCAUAUAUUUGGAUAAGCCUUCUAGUAAAAUGAUCUCAAUAUUAAUUUUGUCAAAUGUGAUUCUAUUUCUGAGAAAACAGAAUAUCCGUAAAGUGAGAGGUAGAUGGGUUUGUUUGCGACUUCACACCAACAGUGCAGGUUGAUUCUUACAAUGGUAAAUCUGUUAACCUGUCAUGCUGUCUACUUUAAUGGCUAUUUAUGAAGUUGUUGGAAUCUUGCAACAAUGAUCCCAAUUCCAUUCCACUAUUUUACUUUCAUUUUUA